rnacentral:rRNA from 1 species
UACGUAGGUGGCAAGCGUUGUCCGGAAUUAUUGGGCGUAAAGCGCGCGCAGGCGGUCUUCCAAGUCAGUGGUGAAAGCCCGGAGCUCAACUCCGGAACUGCCAUUGAAACUGUAAGACUUGAGGAUGAGAGAGGUGAGUGGAAUUCCCAGUGUAGAGGUGAAAUUCGUAGAUAUUGGGAAGAACACCGGUGGCGAAGGCGGCUCACUGGCUCAUAUCUGACGCUCAGGCGCGACAGCGUGGGGAUCAAACAGG